UUUAAUGGUUUUAUAUUUAAUAAAGAAAUAUUAAAAUCUUCAGAUCAUGUGAAAUUGGGUGCCUGUCUCUCUAUCCAGCCACACAAACACAACCAAAGCUUAUCUCCUCUUUUUUUCUGCGUUCUGUGAGUCUGUGACUUCUGUCUCUCCUCUCCUCUCCUCAAUUCUCAUCGACCAGUCGACCUCAAUACCUCUCUAUCCAGCCACUCAGAUUACAAAGGUCUAGGUCAGUUGACCAUCUAGCAAUUUUGUGGGAUUCUAGAAUUGAGAAAUUGGAGAAUUAAAGUUAAAGUUAUUGAAGUCUUAUUUGCGAUCAACUAUGUCACAAGAAUGGCUAAAUGGACUUGCUUUGAUUUCGAUUGAGAAUGAAUAUCUUGGAAAAAUCAAUUGUGAUAAGCUAAUUGAUCAGUUUGCAGGUAAGAAGGCAAGGAGAUGGAUUUUCAAAUGAAUAUCAAUCAACACUGCUAGAAUGUGUUAUUUUGAGGGUUUCAGAUCAAAGCAUCUUUUUGUAAUUAUUUUUUGCUGCAAACUUUAUGUUUGUAUUGAAUAUUUAGCCUUUUUUGUAGGCUCAUCUAAUGAUAUAUAUUGAUCAUACAUUGUUGGUUA